UGGGGAAUAUUGCACAAUGGAGGAAACUCUGAUGCAGCAACGCCGCGUGGAGGAUGACACUUUUCGGAGCGUAAACUCCUUUUAUAUAGGAAGAUAAUGACGGUACUAUAUGAAUAAGCACCGGCUAACUCCGUGCCAGCAGCCGCGGUAAUACGGAGGGUGCAAGCGUUACUCGGAAUCACUGGGCGUAAAGAGCGUGUAGGCGGAUAGAUAAGUUUGAAGUGAAAUCCAAUGGCUUAACCAUUGAACUGCUUUGAAAACUGUUUAUCUAGAAUAUGGGAGAGGUAGAUGGAAUUUCUGGUGUAGGGGUAAAAUCCGUAGAGAUCAGAAGGAAUACCGAUUGCGAAGGCGAUCUACUGGAACAUUAUUGACGCUGAGACGCGAAAGCGUGGGGAGCAAACAGG
rnacentral:rRNA from 1 species